AUACGGAGGGGGCUAGCGUUGUUCGGAAUUACUGGGCGUACAGCGCGCGUAGGCGGUUUACCAAGUCAGGCGUGAAAGCCCCAGGCUCAACCUGGGAACUGCGCUUGAUACUGGUAGACUAGAGGCCGGGAGAGGGUAGUGGAAUUCCCAGUGUAGAGGUGAAAUGCGUAGAUAUUGGGAAGAACACCAGUGGCGAAGGCGGCUACCUGGACCGGACCUGACGCUGAGGUGCGAAAGCGUGGGGAGCAAACAGGAUUAGAUACCCCGGUAGUCC
rnacentral:rRNA from 1 species